AACGAACGCUGGCGGCAGGCUUAACACAUGCAAGUCGAACGGAUCCUUCGGGAUUAGUGGCAGACGGGUGAGUAACGCGUGGGAACGUACCCUUUGCUACGGAAUAACUCAGGGAAACUUGAGCUAAUACCGUAUGUGCCCUACGGGGGAAAGAUUUAUCGGCAAAGGAUCGGCCCGCGUUGGAUUAGCUAGUUGGUGGGGUAAUGGCCUACCAAGGCGACGAUCCAUAGCUGGUCUGAGAGGAUGAUCAGCCACACUGGGACUGAGACACGGCCCAGACUCCUACGGGAGGCAGCAGUGGGGAAUAUUGGACAAUGGGCGCAAGCCUGAUCCAGCCAUGCCGCGUGAGUGACGAAGGUCUUAGGAUUGUAAAGCUCUUUCACCGGUGAAGAUAAUGACGGUAGCCGGAGAAGAAGCCCCGGCUAACUUCGUG
rnacentral:rRNA from 1 species